rnacentral:lncRNA from 1 species
GGGUUGUCUUUAACCCCAUAAACCGACUCAAAUCUCCUUCCCCCACCCCCUUCCCAAAUCCCCCAAAAAAACCCCCUCAGGCAGCAAUUUCGGCGGCGGCGGCAGCUACAACGACUUCGGCAGUUACAACAACCAAUCGUCCAACUUCGGCCCCAUGAAGGGGGGCAAUUUCGGGGGCCGGAGCUCGGGGCCGUACGGCGGCGGCGGCUACGGCAGCUCGAGCGGCGGCGGCAGCUACGGCGGCGGGAGGAGGUUUUAACACCCGCAGGAAACAAAGCUUAGCAGGAGAGGAGAGCCAGAGGAGGGGCAGGGAGCUGCAGGUUACAAGUUGUGAACUCAGCCAAGUGCCACUUUUGUGGCCGGGGGGU